rnacentral:rRNA from 1 species
GUAGGUGGCAAGCGUUGUCCGGAAUUAUUGGGCGUAAAGCGCGCGCAGGCGGUUCUUUAAGUCUGAUGUGAAAGCCCACGGCUCAACCGUGGAGGGUCAUUGGAAACUGGAGAACUUGAGUACAGAAGAGGAAAGCGGAAUUCCACGUGUAGCGGUGAAAUGCGUAGAGAUGUGGAGGAACACCAGUGGCGAAGGCGGCUUUCUGGUCUGUAACUGACGCUGAGGCGCGAAAGCGUGGGGAGCAAACAGGAUUAGAUACCCUGGUAGUCCACGCCGUAAACGAUGAGUGCUAAGUGUUAGGGGGGUUUUCCGCCCCCCCUUUAGUGCUGCAGCUAACGCAUUAAGCACUCCGCCUGGGAUACGGCCGCAAGGCUG